rnacentral:misc_RNA from 1 species
AACGCAUAUUGCGCCCAUUAGUAUUCUAGUGGGCAUGCCUGUUCGAGCGUCAUUUCAACCCUCAAGCCCUGGCUGCUUGGUUUUGGGGCGCCUACGAGUGACCGUAGGCCCUGAAAGUCAGUGGCGGGCUCGCUGUGAACCCGAGCGUAGUAACUUAUUCUCGCUUAGGGGCGCAUGGCGGGUAUCCGGCCAUAAAACCCUUUUAUUUUACAAGGUUGACCUCGGAUCAGGUAGGAAUACCCGCUGAACUUAA